UCCUAAAGUUAGGCUUUGGCCUGCUAGCUGCUUACCCUGUCUUUUGAGUACCGUACUGUUUCCUCGGCGGGUCCUGCCCGCCGAUUGGACAUUAUAAAACCAUUUUGUAGUUGCAAUCAGCGUCAUGAAAAACAAUUAAUAUUA
rnacentral:misc_RNA from 1 species